rnacentral:rRNA from 1 species
UGGGGGAUAUUGCACAAUGGGCGAAAGCCUGAUGCAGCGACGCCGCGUGGGGGAUGAAGGCUUUCGGGUUGUAAACCUCUUUCGCUAUCGAACAAGGCCCGCUUAGGGUGGGUUGAGGGUAGGUGGAGAAGAAGCGCCGGCUAACUACGUGCCAGCAGCCGCGGUAAUACGUAGGGCGCGAGCGUUGUCCGGAAUUAUUGGGCGUAAAGGGCUUGUAGGCGGCUUGUUGCGCCUGCUGUGAAAACGCGGGGCUUAACUUCGCGCGUGCAGUGGGUACGGGCAGGCUUGAGUGUGGUAGGGGUGACUGGAAUUCCAGGUGUAGCGGUGGGAUGCGCAGAUAUCUGGAGGAACACCGAUGGCGAAGGCAGGUCACUGGGCCAUUACUGACGCUGAGGAGCGAAAGCAUGGGUAGCGAACAGG